rfam:Thiorhodospira sibirica ATCC 700588 ctg263, whole genome shotgun sequence.
CACGCCAAUCGGUAACGCCUGGCGUGAUCAGGCAGAAGUCAGCAGACGGCAUCGUCGCCAAGCACUCACCGUAAUGGGUGAGACACGGUGAGAAGGCC